GAUUUAAUUUAUUUCUAGUGGCGGACGGGUGAGUAACGCGUGGGUAACCUGCCUUAUACUGGGGGAUAACAGCCAGAAAUGACUGCUAAUACCGCAUAAGCGCACAGAACCGCAUGGUUCGGUGUGAAAAACUCCGGUGGUAUAAGAUGGACCCGCGUUGGAUUAGCUAGUUGGCAGGGCAGCGGCCUACCAAGGCGACGAUCCAUAGCCGGCCUGAGAGGGUGAACGGCCACAUUGGGACUGAGACACGGCCCAGACUCCUACGGGAGGCAGCAGUGGGGAAUAUUGCACAAUGGGGGAAACCCUGAUGCAGCGACGCCGCGUGAAGGAAGAAGUAUCUCGGUAUGUAAACUUCUAUCAGCAGGGAAGAUAAUGACGGUACCUGACUAAGAAGCCCCGGCUAACUACGUGCCAGCAGCCGCGGUAAUACGUAGGGGGCAAGCGUUAUCCGGAUUUACUGGGUGUAAAGGGAGCGUAGACGGCGCAGCAAGUCUGAUGUGAAAGGCAGGGGCUUAAUCCCCUGGACUGCAUUGGAAACUGCUGUGCUUGAGUGCCGGAGGGGUAAGCGGAAUUCCUAGUGUAGCGGUGAAAUGCGUAGAUAUUAGGAGGAACACCAGUGGCG
rnacentral:rRNA from 1 species